GAUUCUUAUCUCCACCAUGCACCCAGCUCUUAUCUGCCCUCUCAUUUUAUUACUUUUUUAUUUUGAUGAGUGUACACCUCAUCUCCUGGACUACGUGUGGGAAGAGUGCUGCACGAAAGUGUGCUGUGAUUUCUCCGCAUAGCACCUACCCUCCCGAGUAAAUAAGCUGGCCGUACGUACAUCACACAGACGAGGGGACUGGCUGACUCCUUAAAGGCAAGCAGAGAGAAAGGGAGUCAGCAAAAGGAACAUUUUUUCAUUACUACACAGUGUUGAUACUCAUGUUUGAUAGAAUUAGAAAAAAGCAUUAUGCACCAGCUGAUGCAAUGCUUGAGUCAGGCAAGAAUCCGCGCUGGACGCAGAAAGCUCUCGCUGGAUGUAAGUUUGUUGUGCAAGAAUGCAGUCCUCAAGAGUCAGAGACGCAGCCCCGCCCUCCCCGGGAAUACGUGUGAAUUACAAAGAGAAGAGGCGCUCUGGAGGCCACCACCACAUUCAAAGUGAGCGUCGCUCAUGCAGGGACAGCUCCACAGUGGCAGCCUCCUGACCCCGCGGAGGGUGGAGGUCACAGCCUCCCUCUAGAGUUCUCUUGGCAACAGUUUUUCCUCUGACUCUGAUAGUGAGGGGGACAUAACCUGGACUGGGGACCUUCAACAGGACAACUGGAUUAGAAAACAACAAGCCAUAAAAGACAUUUUUGGGACAUUGGAGAAAUGUGAAUAUGGCCUGCACAUUAAAUAAGAUUACAUAUUAAUGUUCAUUUUGGGGGGUAUGUUAAUGGUAUGGUGGUUGCUGUGGACUGAAUAUUUGUGCCCCCCCGAAAUUCAUAUGCUGAAAUGCUAACCCCCAGUGUGACGGUGUUAGGAGGUGGGGCCUUUGGGAGGUGAUUAGGUCAUGAGGGCGGAGCCCCAUGAAGGGGAUCAGGGCCCUUAUAAAAGGGACUCCAGAGGGCCCUCUUGCCUUCUCCACCACAGACGGAGAAAACUGCCGGCUGCCACUGGGAAGAGGGUGCUCACCAGCCCCUGACCUGCUGGCACUCUGACCUCGGGCUUCCGGCCUCCAGAACUCUGAGAAAUAAAUUUCCGUUG
ensembl:lncRNA